GACGAACGCUGGCGGCGUGCUUAACACAUGCAAGUCGAACGGAAAGGCCCUGCUUUUGUGGGGUGCUCGAGUGGCGAACGGGUGAGUAACACGUGAGUAACCUGCCCUUGACUUUGGGAUAACUUCAGGAAACUGGGGCUAAUACCGGAUAGGAGCUCCUGCUGCAUGGUGGGGGUUGGAAAGUUUCGGCGGUUGGGGAUGGACUCGCGGCUUAUCAGCUUGUUGGUGGGGUAGUGGCUUACCAAGGCUUUGACGGGUAGCCGGCCUGAGAGGGUGACCGGCCACAUUGGGACUGGGAUACGGCCCAGACGCCUACGGGAGGCAGCAGUGGGGAAUAUUGCACAAUGAGCGGAAGCCUGAUGCAGCAACGCCGCGUGCGGGAUGACGGCCUUCGGGUUGUAAACCGCUUUCGCCUGUGACGAAGCGUGAGUGACGGUAAUGGGUAAAGAAGCACCGGCUAACUACGUG
rnacentral:rRNA from 1 species